GAAUGUGAAUCAAAUGUAAUUACACAACUUUCAACAACGGAUCUCUUGGCUCUUGCAUCGAUGAAGAACGCAGCGAAAUGCGAUAAGUAAUGUGAAUUGCAGAAUUCAGUGAAUCAUCGAAUCUUUGAACGCAUCUUGCACUCCUUGGUAUUCCUUGGAG
rnacentral:rRNA from 1 species